GUUACAGAUCACAAAAUAGUCUGACCUUGUCACCAGAGAAAGGAUGCAAUGAUUUCAAAAAGAAAAUAUGCAGUUGGUGCUGUACAUUUCUGUUGCAGCGACUGGGAUUUACGAAGUAAGAAAGGAACAGAGCAGAGAGAGGGAAGGCAUGACCUUACACCACCUUUUGAAGAGCACGACUGUUGACAGAAUGAACAGUGAGAGCACGGGAGAGUUGACUUCUCCAUGAAAGGCAGCCAUCAGAUGCUGGGAAGAGCGUACAUGUGCAGAGUUCCUCUGGGGGAAUCACUGGAGACUGCCCAUGCAUUAAUCAUAACCAUCAAUGCCUCAUCAACAAUGUAUGUGUCUUUCUACUCGGCCUAUUCAAGAGAAGCAGCAGGGAGGUGGUGGUUCUUCUCCCGGCCCAACUACUGACCUGCUGUGCUGCCUGCAGCAGAUUACUUCAUCAGAAAAGGGGAUGGGGAAAAGAGUCUUGCUUUCCUUCCAGUUGAAGCAUUUAGUACAUUAAUCUAAGUGGUUGUUACUAUUCCUUUGCAACACCACUGUAAAAGCUGUCAUUGAAAUAAAGGUUUGCCAGGUAGAACUUUUUGUAUGAAUUCUAUUUUAAGCACUUCAUUUGACCACUUAAAAUUUAGUCUUUACAUAAAUAGUAGUUCCUGUUAAUAAGUACUUUGAAAGAGUACUUGAAUAACACACAUACUACUUUAUAAAUAACAGCUUUAUAACCAUUUUUUUCUUUAUCUUCAUUUGCCGUUCUUCCAAAGUGAAGUAAGAUUGCUAGGCUUUAGUGUGCUAUUUUACAGUAAGCAAGUGCCUUUUGGACGUAUCUCCUGAAUGCUGCCAUCUACUUCCCAGCAGUGGAACACCUCUGGGGACAGCUGCAUAAUAAAACCUCAGUGGCUGAAUUUGUUUUAUAAUUUCAAGCAUUCAUGACUGAAGGAAGAUUCUUCUGCCACAUGUGCUGUAUGACUCUAAGUAUGAGAUUGUUAACAUGAAAACCAAAAGCUGUCACAGGCUUAGGGCCAGAACAACGUUGUAACAGCAACAAUAGAGGGAGCCCAAUUCAUUUCAGGUUACACUGCAUCAACACUUUUGUCAUCAAUUUUAUUCAAUCACAUAGUGCAGCUGGAAGACAGACUAAAAAUCAUUUGUCUUCUGAGGCGUUUUCUCUGUAUUUCACAGCAUUUACUAGGAAUAUUAGCAUUUUUUAAUUGUCUGAAGUGUCUUCUCCUAGGGAAACUAGUUUCUUUCUGUCAGAAAGACAGUAUUUUCUUAAAUACCUCAAAUAUGCAAGGUCUAUGAG